rnacentral:rRNA from 1 species
AGUGAGCGCUGGCGGUAGGCCUAACACAUGCAGGUCGAACGGCAGCACAGUAAGAGCUUGCUCUUACGGGUGGCGAGUGGCGGACGGGUGAGGAAUACAUCGGAAUCUACUUUUUCGUGGGGGAUAACGUAGGGAAACUUACGCUAAUACCGCAUACGACCUACGGGUGAAAGCAGGGGAUCUUCGGACCUUGCGCGAUUGAAUGAGCCGAUGUCGGAUUAGCUAGUUGGCGGGGUAAAGGCCCACCAAGGCGACGAUCCGUAGCUGGUCUGAGAGGAUGAUCAGCCACACUGGAACUGAGACACGGUCCAGUCUCCUACGGGAGGCAGCAGUGGGGAAUAUUGGACAAUGGGCGCAAGCCUGAUCCAGCCAUACCGCGUGGGUGAAGAAGGCCUUCGGGUUGUAAAGCCCUUUUGUUGGGAAAGAAAAGCAGCAGGUUAAUACCCCGCUGUUCUGACGGUACCCAAAGAAUAAGCACCGGCUAACUUCGUG